GACGAAGGGGGCUAGCGUUGUUCGGAAUUACUGGGCGUAAAGCGCGUGUAGGCGGCUGUCCAAGUUGGAUGUGAAAGCCUUGAGCUCAACUCAAGAAAUGCAUUCAGGACUGGAUGACUAGAGGACCGGAGAGGAUAGUGGAAUUCCCAGUGUAGUGGUGAAAUACGUAGAGAUUGGGAAGAACACCAGUGGCGAAGGCGGCUAUCUGGACGGUUUCUGACGCUAAGACGCGAAAGCGUGGGGAGCAAACAGG
rnacentral:rRNA from 1 species